rnacentral:rRNA from 1 species
AUUGAACGCUGGCGGCAUGCUUUACACAUGCAAGUCGAACGGUAACAGGCCGCAAGGUGCUGACGAGUGGCGAACGGGUGAGUAAUGCAUCGGAACGUGCCCAGUCGUGGGGGAUAACGCAGCGAAAGCUGCGCUAAUACCGCAUACGAUCUCUGGAUGAAAGCGGGGGACCGAAAGGCCUCGCGCGAUUGGAGCGGCCGAUGUCAGAUUAGGUAGUUGGUGGGGUAAAGGCCCACCAAGCCAACGAUCUGUAGCUGGUCUGAGAGGACGACCAGCCACACUGGGACUGAGACCCGGCCCAGACUCCUACGGGAGGCAGCAGUGGGGAAUUUUGGACAAUGGGCGCAAGCCUGAUCCAGCAAUGCCGCGUGCAGGAAGAAGGCCUUCGGGUUGUAAACUGCUUUUGUACGGAACGAAACGGUCCGGGUUAAUACCCUGGGCUAAUGACGGUACCGUAAGAAUAAGCACCGGCUAACUACGUGCCAGCAGCCGCCGUAACAC